rnacentral:rRNA from 1 species
AUGGGGAGGGGGAAGAUUGUGAUUGAGAGGAUCGACAACCCGACGAAUCGUCAGGUGACCUUCUCCAAGAGGCGCGGAGGGCUGAUGAAGAAGGCCCGGGAGCUCGCCAUCCUCUGUGACGCCGAUCUCGCGCUCAUCGUCUUCUCCAGCACCGGUCGCCUCUACGACUUUGCGAGCUCCAGCGGAAUGGAGGCAAUACUAGAGCGGUACCAGGAGGCGAAAGAGGAGCACUACGGGGUGCUGAAUCCAACAUCAGAGCAAUCGGUGCAAAACCGGGAGCCAGAGACUAAUUAA